GUGUACACGGAGAGGUGGCACUCAGAGAUGGCUUCUGAGGAAGGGCCUGCUGCCAUGCUGCUCCGCUCUGACUCUCUGUGAACCCACAGUCUUACUAGACGUUGACAGGACCUGGGAAAGAAAGUCGAGACCAAAAGAUGAAAUAGGUUGCCUUGGGUGCCAUGGGCACAUAGCACUGCAGGAUGGAAUCACAGGACCAGUCACCAUGACAACAACAGGCAGUUGCAAUUUUCAGCCAGUGGAGUACUCAGAGUACAGGAAGAGGCUGCAGACCACCCCUAGGAGAGCUGCCUUUGUAGGCACACCCCGUAUCUGAGGCACAGGGACUUCUCGGCCUCAGUCUCCCACCUACAGGAUGAGAACAUGGCAGGUCUGCAGAGUGCUACCUGGAGCGAGAAACAGAAAAGCCAGGAACACAAAAGAACACAAACAGGGCUGCCAACCUCCUGUGACAGAUCCAAGUGGCUGCCUCAGCCCCCACUUUUUCAAGGGAGAUGGGAAUCCAAUGCCCCUCAUCAGAGCUGCCCACUUAUAGCCCUGAAUUUCUCCCAUCAAAGCACCUAGUGGGUAAGUGAGUAAUGACAGGAGAUGGGGGACAGGCAGGUAGACUCCAUGUGGGGCAGGAGGGCUGGAGUACCGUCAGCUUGGCUGUUUCCCACAGGUGUGUGAGUGCAGAUGUGAGGCCCAGCUGGCCUGGCUGCUGCCCACCUGCUUGCCAAAUCCCCUGCCACUCCCUCCAUUCCCACCCCACCUUCCAGACUUGGAAACUGCUUGCUUCUGCAGUCACUGUAGCCUCCCUAUCUGUGCAAGGGAAAAAAGGGUCUCCUGGAAGCAAACAGGGAGCAGUGGUCUUCACCCAUGGCAUUGAGCUGGCAUCGCGUUGGCCAUCGAGCAGUUAUGAUGGGUAGUUAUGAGUAGCAGUUACAACGGUCAUAGUGCUCAGCACCAAUAAGGGCUGGCUCUGUGAAGGAAGGCAGAUGAAAUCUCACUCUGGGUGUAGCUAUCCCAGCUAAGCUCUGCCCACCCCACAGUUACCUGGCAACAGCCAGGUUAUGCCUGACUCAUAUAAAAGGCUUGCUUGCCCCCUCGGCUUUCUUUUGCUCUCUUGCCUUCUUGCUCUCCCUCUGUCCUCUCACCCGUUCCCCCUCUCUCCCCAUUCCC